CAAGCGGUGGAGCAUGUGGUUUAAUUCGACGCAACGCGAAGAACCUUACCAGGGCUUGACAUCCCCUGACCGCGUAUGAAAGUACGUUUUCACCCUCGGGUGACAGGGAGACAGGUGGUGCAUGGUUGUCGUCAGCUCGUGUCGUGAGAUGUUGGGUUAAGUCCCGCAACGAGCGCAACCCCUAUGUUUAGUUGCUAACAGGUGAAGCUGAGCACUCUAGACGAACUGCCGUUGACAAAACGGAGGAAGGUGGGAUGACGUCAAAUCAUCAUGCCCCUUAUGUUCUGGGCUACACACGUGCUACAAUGGCCGGUACAGACGGAGGCGAAGCCGCGAGGCGGAGCAAAUCCGAAAAAGCCGGUCUCAGUUCGGAUUGCAGGCUGCAAUUCGCCUGCAUGAAGUCGGAAUCGCUAGUAAUCGCAGGUCAGCAUACUGCGGUGAAUACGUUCCCGGGCCUU
rnacentral:rRNA from 1 species